GCAUAAUCAUUAGUCUUUUAAUUGAAGGCUGGUAUGAAUGGCGGGACGGGGCUCUUACUGUCUUUAUUGAAAUAAAUUUGAAUUUAAUUUUUUAGUUAAAAAGCUGAAAUUUGUUUGGAGGACGAGAAGACCCUAUAGAGCUUAAUAUAUUAGUUUUAUUUUUAGUUUAAGCUUGGAGAAUAAGAUGGCUAUAUUUUGUUGGGGUGACAGGAAGAUAGAUUAAACUCUUUUUUUUCAACUUCAUUAAUUAAUGUUUUUAUGAUCCAUUUAUUGUGAUUAAAAGAAUAAGUUACCUUAGGGAUAACAGCGUAAUUUUUCUAGAGAGUUCAUAUCGACAGAAGAGUUUGCGACCUCGAUGUUGGACUAAGAUAAAAUUUAGGUGCAGAAGCUUAAAUAUUAGGUCUGUUCGACCAUUAAAAUCUUACAU
rnacentral:rRNA from 1 species